GUUAUAAUUGCAUAAUUGGUUAUUGCGUUUGUUUUGUAAUCAAAAGAUUUUAGGUUCGAGUCCUAAUUAUAACU
rnacentral:tRNA from 1 species